GUUGAACGCUGGCGGAAUGCUUUACACAUGCAAGUCGAACGGUAGAGGGGGCAACCCCUCGAGAGUGGCGAACGGGUGAGUAAUAUAUCGGAACGUGCCCAGUCGUGGGGGAUAACGUAGCGAAAGUUACGCUAAUACCGCAUACGAUCUAAGGAUGAAAGCGGGGGAUCGCAAGACCUCGCGCGAUUGGAGCGGCCGAUAUCAGAUUAGGUAGUUGGUGGGGUAAAGGCUCACCAAGCCAACGAUCUGUAGCUGGUCUGAGAGGACGACCAGACACACUGGAACUGAGACACGGUCCAGACUCCUACGGGAGUCAGCAGUGGGGAAUUUUGGACAAUGGACGCAAGUCUGAUCCAGCCAUUCCGGGUGCAGGAUGAAGGCCCUCGGGUUGUAAACUGCUUUUGUACGGAACGAAAAGGUCUCUCUUAAUACGGGGGACUCAUGACGGUACCGUAAGAAUAAGCACCGGCUAACUACGUGCCAGCCGCCGCCGUAA
rnacentral:rRNA from 1 species